AGCCUGCCCAGUGACGCUAAAGGUUUAACGGCCGCGGUAGCAUGACCGUGCUAAGGUAGCAUAAUAAUUUGUCCUUUAAUUGGGGACUGGUAUGAACGGCUGAACAAGAAAUCAACUGUCUCUGCUAUAAAUUUUGAAAUUAACGUUUAAGUGAAAAGGCUUAAAUAAAAUAGGGGGACGAUAAGACCCUAUAAAUCUUGAUAGAGAAGAUUAUAACCUUAGAAAGUAGUUACAGUUCUCGGGUUAAGACAUUUUCUAUUUUGUUGGGGCGACAGGAGUAUAAUUAGUAACUGCUUUGGGCUUAAUAUGUAAUUAUCGCUAUUGUGGGUAUUAUGAGAGAUCCUUCUUUGAAGAUGUCAGACUAAGUUACUUUAGGGAUAACAGCGUAAUCUUUCCUUGAGAGUCCAUAUCCGAAAGGAGGGGUUGCGACCUCGAUGUUGAAUUAAAGAACCUUGAUGGUGUAGCAGC
rnacentral:rRNA from 1 species